rnacentral:piRNA from 1 species
UGCAUCUUGUUCUGGUACCUUUGCACUC